rnacentral:rRNA from 1 species
UGAGGAANNUUGGUCAAUGGAUGGAAAUCUGAACCAGCCAAGUAGCGUGCAGGAUGACGGCCCUAUGGGUUGUAAACUGCUUUUAUGUGAGAAUAAAGUUAGGUAUGUAUACUUAUUUGCAUGUAUCACAUGAAUAAGGACCGGCUAAUUCCGUGCCAGCAGCCGCGGUAAUACGGAAGGUCCAGGCGUUAUCCGGAUUUAUUGGGUUUAAAGGGUGCGUAGGCCGUUUGAUAAGCGUGCUGUGAAAUAUAGUGGCUCAACCUCUAUCGUGCAGCGCGAACUGUCGAACUUGAGUGCGUAGUAGGUAGGCGGAAUUCGUGGUGUAGCGGUGAAAUGCUUAGAUAUCACGAAGAACUCCGAUUGCGAAGGCAGCUUACCGUAACGUUACUGACGCUUAAGCACGAAGGUGCGGGUAUCGAACAGGAUUAGAUACCCUGGUAGUCCGCACAGUAAACGAUGGAUGCUCGCUGUUGGCCUUUAAUGNNCAGUGGCUUAGCGAAAGCGUUAAGCAUCCCACCUGGGGAGUACGCCGGNNCGGUG